CACUCUCCACUCCUUCCUCCACUCCCUCCCAUCCCUCUCCUACCUCUCUCCCACGAAAAUGGUGCUCCUUCUAGCUACCAUGACCAGCCAUGGCCAUGGAAAUCCACCAAGAGGAAGCUCCCCUUCUCCCUUAAGCUUCACCUCACCAUGAGAGCCUCCCUCUCCUUCUUCUCCCCAACCCUAGAUGGUUUUAUCACCUCUUCUUCUUCCUCCAUUGCUAAGGUUGGAUCUUGAUGCAGGUGCAUGUUGGUUCAAGCAUGGAGAAGGUUGAGCAAUCCUCAGAUCUGAAGCUCUUGAUCCAAAUCCAAAUCGAGUGAUUCAAAGUUCCACAGAUAGAUAUCGAAAAGAUCUACAACUUGGCGUUGGUCUCAUCCUCAAAUUCGUUACCGAUUCUCCAUGAUCAAGAUCUGGACAGAUCUGGCUUUGUCGAAUUAAACCAGGAGCUUGGGAACGAAUUUUUGAAUGAAACAAAUUGGGGGUAAGAACUAGCUUUUUAAU